rnacentral:rRNA from 1 species
GAUGAACGCUGGCGGCGUGCCUAAUACAUGCAAGUCGAGCGAACAGACGAGGAGCUUGCUCUUCUGACGUUAGCGGCGGACGGGUGAGUAACACGUGGAUAACCUACUUAUAAGACUGGGAUAACUUCGGGAAACCGGAGCUAAUACCGGAUAAUAUGUUGAACCGCAUGGUUCAACAGUGAAAGACGGUCUUGCUGUCACUUAUAGAUGGAUCCGCGCCGCAUUAGCUAGUUGGUAAGGUAACGGCUUACCAAGGCAACGAUGCGUAGCCGACCUGAGAGGGUGAUCAGCCACACUGGAACUGAGACACGGUCCAGACUCCUACGGGAGGCAGCAGUAGGGAAUCUUCCGCAAUGGGCGAAAGCCUGACGGAGCAACGCCGCGUGAGUGAAGAAGGUCUUCGGAUCGUAAAACUCUGUUAUUAGGGAAGAACAAAUGUGUAAGUAACUAUGCACGUCUUGACGGUACCUAAUCAGAAAGCCACGGCUAACUACGUG